CGCUUGACAGAUACCGACAUCAUCGUUACCUCAGCGUUUAAGAGCGCUCGGCACGUGCCGCUAUUAUUAUUAUUAUUUUUCGCAUCAUUAUUAGCAAAACGACUUGAAAAAGCAAACAGGCUCAACCUGCCCGUGGCCUGAGAGGCGGAGAAUGAAACCGCUGUCCCGAAUUCAUUCGGUCACAUUUAUUGAGCGCUUAUUGGACGCGGAACACUGUACUAAGCGCUUGGGAGAGUACAGAGGGACACUGAACAGGUCCAUUCCCUGCCCACAGCGAGCUUAGGGAUUAGAGACUCACGUGAGUCACGGUGACAUUUUUGAAGAGCGCUCCGCUCUGCCACGGCUAAGGUGACGAUUCUGUGACGGUUUUGCCCAGGCGACCCCUCGUAGAGGAAACGCGUCUCUCUUUCCCGCACACGGCGAAGCUCUGGGACCCGAGGCAAACCAUCCGUUGUGGCAGUCGGCAAAUCCGGCCCUCGGCGCCCCGGGUCGCAGCCUCAAAGCCGACGUCGGGCGAAGCGGCAUCCUGCCCGUCCGACUCCCGGAGGAUCUGAAAACCGGAAGUCUCUUCUUCGCCUUAAAGCCGACGUCGAGCGGAAGGGCGUCCUCGCCGUCGGACUCCCGGCGGACCUGAGAGAGGCAAGUCUCUUCUUCACCGAAGCGGCCUCAUUAAGCAUUUUCCCUCGUGAGAUGACUGUUUUCGCCGCUUGUCUUCUGGGACGUCGGCGGGCCCUAGCUCCAGUGAAAGUUGCAGCGAGUUGCAAGUUGAGACGUUGUCGCGUACAACCGCCAUGAUGGAAUCUCUUCAGCUCCUUCGCGCACGGUGGUCGGACCUGGUGGCAGAAGGAUCGGUCGGAGGUCGUGGCUUCGAAUCCCGGCUCGGCCACUUGUCAGCUGUGUGACUCUGGGCAGGUCGCUUCACUUC